UAGGAUUCUAAAUUAAACUAUUCUUUG
rnacentral:tRNA from 1 species